CCGAGUUAGGUACUACUGGCCCGACCCAACCCUGUCUACAUGACCACGAUGUUGCCUACGGCAGGCAGCACCCGCAAGGGUAGCCGCGGGGCCUAACGGAUCGGGUCCGCGCCUAGAUGGACCCUCUAAACUCUGUUCUAUAACGUGUACGUCUGAGUAAAACCAUAAAUAAAAUCA
rnacentral:misc_RNA from 1 species